rnacentral:rRNA from 1 species
CAGAAUGGUUGGAAAUCAUUCAUAGAGUGUAAAGGCAUAAGGGAGCUUGACUGCGAGACCUACAAGUCGAGCAGGGUCGAAAGACGGACUUAGUGAUCCGGUGGUUCCGCAUGGAAGGGCCAUCGCUCAACGGAUAAAAGCUACCCCGGGGAUAACAGGCUUAUCUCCCCCAAGAGUUCACAUCGACGGGGAGGUUUGGCACCUCGAUGUCGGCUCAUCGCAUCCUGGGGCUGUAGUCGGUCCCAAGGGUUGGGCUGUUCGCCCAUUAAAGCGGUACGCGAGCUGGGUUCAGAACGUCGUGAGACAGUUCGGUCCCUAUCCGUCGUGGGCGUAGGAAAUUUGAGAGGAGCUGUCCUUAGUACGAGAGGACCGGGAUGGACAUACCUCUGGUGUACCAGUUGUCGUGCCAACGGCAUAGCUGGGUAGCUAUGUAUGGACGGGAUAAGUGCUGAAAGCAUCUAAGCAUGAAGCCCCCCUCAAGAUGAGAUUUCCCAACUUCGGUUAUAAGAUCCCUCAGAGAUGAUGAGGUUAAUAGGUUCGAGGUGGAAGCGUGGUGACACGUGGAGCUGACGAAUACUAAUCGAUCGAAGACUUAAUCAAUUU